GACGAACGCUGGCGGCGUGCCUAACACAUGCAAGUCGAGCGAGGGGAGUUCUUCGGAACGAACCUAGCGGCGGACGGGUGAGUAACACGUGGGUAACCUGCCUCAAAGAGGGGGAUAGCCUUCCGAAAGGAAGAUUAAUACCGCAUAAUCCAUUGUUUCCGCAUGGGGAUAAUGGUAAAGAUUUAUCGCUUUGAGAUGGACCCGCGGCGCAUUAGCUAGUUGGUGAGGUAAUGGCUCACCAAGGCGACGAUGCGUAGCCGACCUGAGAGGGUGAUCGGCCACAUUGGAACUGAGACACGGUCCAGACUCCUACGGGAGGCAGCAGUGGGGAAUAUUGCACAAUGGGGGAAACCCUGAUGCAGCGACGCCGCGUGGAGGAUGACGGCC
rnacentral:rRNA from 1 species